AUUAUUAGAAAUGUUAUAUUGUUAGUAGAUAAAUAUAUGAAAACAAAAAGUUAUGGCGGUACCUCAAGCUUUUCAGAGGAAUUUGCUCUUUAAUGGAUAAAACGCCCAGAUCUUACUAGAGUUGGUAAAGACAGUUUGUAUACCACUAUUAAAGCAAUUAUUUGUUACAAUUGCUGUAAAUUUUACAAGAAAAAAAGUUAAGUCAAGGUGCAGCUUAAAUUUUAGGAUGAAGUGAAUUACAAUACUUUUUAGUAAUUUUAUUUUAAAUAAGAAAAAUUAGGAUUUGAAAGUAAAAAUUUUAAUAGAAUGAUUAUUUGAAUUAAGCUCUGAGAUAUGUAC
rnacentral:rRNA from 1 species